UUUGCCUUUUAAUUGGAGGCUCGUAUGAAUGGACACACGAGGGCAUAGGUGUCUCUUUUAUGGCCCUAUAAAUUACCCCCCAGGUGAAGAGACCUGGAUAAUAUAAAAAGACGAAAAGACCCUGUGGAGCUUUACUUAACUUACCCUACUAUUUAAUAGAAGAAACCUUUUUAGGGUAAAAUAGUUUAGUUGGGGCGACUAAGGAGCACAAUAAACCCUCCUAUACACCCUUCGGCCAUGCGCCCAUAAACAGAUCCACAGCCGUGAAUAUAGACCCAGCUACCCCAGGGAUAACAGGCUAAUCUUCCUCGAGAGCCCACAUUGACAGGAAGGAUUGGCACCUCGAUGUUGGCUUAAGGUUCCUCCAAGGUGUAGCAGCUUUGGCAGUAGGUUUGUUCAACCUUUAAAACCU
rnacentral:rRNA from 1 species